GCCUGGAUAGCUCAGCCGGUAGAGCAUCAGACUGUUAAUCUGAGGGUCAAGGGUUCAAGUCCCUGUUCAGGCG
rnacentral:tRNA from 1 species